AUUGAACGCUGGCGGCAUGCCUUACACAUGCAAGUCGAACGGCAGCACGGGUGCUUGCACCUGGUGGCGAGUGGCGAACGGGUGAGUAAUACAUCGGAACGUACCUUAUCGUGGGGGAUAACGCAGCGAAAGCUGUGCUAAUACCGCAUACGCCCUGAGGGGGAAAGCGGGGGAUCGAAAGACCUCGCGCGAUUAGAGCGGCCGAUGCCUGAUUAGCUUGUUGGUGGGGUAAAAGCCCACCUAGGCGACGAUCAGUAGCUGGUCUGAGAGGACGAUCAGCCACACUGGGACUGGGACACGGCCCAGACUCCUACGGGAGGCAGCAGUGGGGAAUUUUGGACAAUGGGGGCAACCCUGAUCCAGCAAUGCCGCGUGAGUGAAGAAGGCCUUCGGGUUGUAAAGCUCUUUUGUCAGGGAAGAAACACCGGCUCUAACACAGUCCGGGAAUGACGGUACCUGAAGAAUAAGCACCGGCUAACUACGUGCCAGCAGCCGCGGUAA
rnacentral:rRNA from 1 species